UCAGAAUAUGAAAUUUGAGCCGAAAAUUAAAAGAAAAAAAACGUUGGAAGGAGAAACAGAAAAGAUGAGAAAUAGAGAAUAGUAAAAUGGAGGAGAUGUACCUAUAAGGAAUAGCAUCUACUUCAUAUUUUAAUAAUUAAAAGUGACAACAAAGUAGUUGAACAUUUAAUGAACAUAAGAGACUUUGUGGAUAUACUCUGAUAUUCCUUGUAUCGAAUAAUAUAUCAUAAUAUGUCAUAUAGCAGGAAGAAAUGUGUAGUGCUAGGCUGUAAAUCGGAGACUCUAAGACUCCGCUUGUUCCCAUCUGCAAAAGAUAAGGAGAGAUAUCUGAAAUGGUUGAGAGCUUGUGAAAAUAUCGAGCUGCUACAGCUGUCUGUGCCUCAAUUGAGGCACAGACUUGCGAUGAGCAUUUCGAGGCGAGAAUAAAACUGGCGACCACAUUGUCCAGAGUGGCAAUUCCGACUGUACAUUUACCCAAGCCUAUUGAUGCAUCAAACUACAAAUUUACUGAUGCACAAUCGAGUGAUACACGAAAGAUUAAUAUACAAACUUGAGAAAAUACAUAUUUUUUAAUCAUUAAGAGAUAUGUACAUAUGUGAUUAAAAAAAUAAAUAUUCAAUACCUGAAGACUUAGAACACUCAUUGUGCUCUUACAAUUUGGAUGGACUACUAAUAUUUUAUUUCUGAAGUGUUAACCAUGGCGUUAUAUUCUACGACUGAGAAAAGGUCUAUCAAUGACGAAAUAUUCAAAAUACUAGCAGAAUUAUCGGAAUCUGAUGUCGGACGCAGCGAGGAUUUCUGAAGAGGAGCAUACUCUUGAUGCAGAACAAAGACACAGUGACAUUGAAGAGGAUGCCGCAAUUCUCUCGGAUAGUUCUGAUCCAAAUGACAAAGCAGCGUUCAAUGAUUCAACGGAAACUGUCUAUGUCGGCAGAAAUAACAUUACAACCUGAAACAAGCUUCCUUGUAUGAAUCAAUCUGUCACAGUCCCUUCUGUUCCAAUCCCUUCUGAAAAAGAGAACAUCACAGAUAGAGCUUUCGCCACUCUGAACGAUAUGAAUUCGCAGAUGAGCUGUCCGCUUUUCGAGAGAUCUUCGACGAUAGAAUGCUUGAAGAGAUCGUCGCUUGUACCAAUUUCUCGAUCGAGCAUAAGCAUCGCGCAUGUUUCAGCCACAAAAACAUAAAGGAGACGACAAGGGCUGAAAUGCUAGUACUGAUUGGUCUAUUAUAUCUCGGGUAUGAAGAGAACUAGACACGCGAGUCUAUUGGAACUGUGGACGGACGAUGGUACCGGGUUGGAGAUUUGUCGUUCCGCUAUGAGCUACAAGAGAUUCUUGUUUCUCUUGGACUAUCUGCAACUCAGUGACAGGAAUACCAGAGCCAAGCGGUUAAAGAUGGACAGGUUGGCACCUAUAAGAAAUAUCUGGAAUAAAUUUGUAGAGAAUUGUAAGAAAUCCUAUUUGCCCAGCGAGUUCCUCAUCGUUGGAGAUAGAUUAAAAAAUUUCGGGGGCAAGUGCAGCUUUGUCCAACAUGUUCCCAACCUGCACAUAAUGGAUUGAAGAUUAGUUUAGUGGAUGUCAAGACAUCAUACACUUGUAUGUAACAUGGAACUUUAUUGCGAUCAGCAGCCAGAAGAACUUUACAGAAUUAGCAAUGAUCCUGCGGCGAUAGUGCAGCGACUGAUCGAACAUCUCAAAGGCUCCAACAGCAAUCUAUCUUGUGAUGAGCAUUAUACCUCCUAUCUGCUCGCUGUUUCGUUUCUGGCCGACAAGAUAACGUUCCUCGGUGCGAUGGGAAAAGAUCACAGAGAAGUUCCUUUAUGCUUCUUGGUAGGAAAAUCGCGACCAGUUGGCAGCAUCCAACUAUGAGCUUCAAAAACGACACCAUCUUAGUAUCCUAUGUAUCCCAGAGAGACAAGGCUAUCAUCGUGCUCUCGACAACACAUCACGAUGCGAAAUUUAAUCCACAAACCAAGAAACCGGUGAUCAUAGAACAUUAUAAUGCAACAAAAGACGCGAUAGACGUCGCGGAACAAACAUGCGCGAUAUAUUCGGUUUCCAAAAAAAUCAAGAGAUGGCCAUUGACAGUGUUCUUUGUGUUGUUGGACGUGGCUGGCGUGAACGCUCAGAUUCUUUUUAAUGGUUCCCAAAGCAA